rnacentral:rRNA from 1 species
AAGCCCAGCUUUGCUGGGUGGAUUAUGUGGCGAACGGGUGAGUAACACGUGAGUAACCUGCCCUUAACUCUGGGAUAAGCCUGGGAAACUGGGUCUAAUACCGGAUAGGAGCGUCCACCGCAUGGUGGGUGUUGGAAAGAUUUAUCGGUUUUGGAUGGACUCGCGGCCUAUCAGCUUGUUGGUGAGGUAAUGGCUCACCAAGGCGACGACGGGUAGCCGGCCUGAGAGGGUGACCGGCCACACUGGGACUGAGACACGGCCCAGACUCCUACGGGAGGCAGCAGUGGGGAAUAUUGCACAAUGGGCGAAAGCCUGAUGCAGCGACGCCGCGUGAGGGAUGACGGCCUUCGGGUUGUAAACCUCUUUCAGUAGGGAAGAAGCGAAAGUGACGGUACCUACAGAAGAAGCACCGGCUAACUACGUGCCAGCAGCCGCGGUAAUACGUAGGGUGCGAGCGUUAUCCGGAAUUAUUGGGCGUAAAGAGCUCGUAGGCGGUUUGUCGCGUCUGUCGUGAAAGUCCGGGGCUUAACCCCGGAUCUGCGGUGGGUACGGGCAGACUAGAGUGCAGUAGGGGAGACUGGAAUUCCUGGUGUAGCGGUGGAAUGCGCAGAUAUCAGGAGGAACACCGAUGGCGAAGGCAGGUCUCUGGGCUGUAACUGACGCUGANGGAGCGAAAGCAUGGGGAGCGAACAGGAUUAGAUACCCUGGUAGUCCAUGCCGUAAACGUUGGGCACUAGGUGUGGGGNACCAUUCCACGGUUU